AGUGGCGAACGGGUGAGUAAUACAUCGGAACGUACCCAGGAGUGGGGGAUAACGUAGCGAAAGUUACGCUAAUACCGCAUAUUCUGUGAGCAGGAAAGCGGGGGAUCGCAAGACCUCGCGCUCUUGGAGCGGCCGAUGUCGGAUUAGCUAGUUGGUGAGGUAAAAGCUCACCAAGGCGACGAUCCGUAGCAGGUCUGAGAGGAUGAUCUGCCACACUGGGACUGAGACACGGCCCAGACUCCUACGGGAGGCAGCAGUGGGGAAUUUUGGACAAUGGGGGCAACCCUGAUCCAGCCAUGCCGCGUGAGUGAAGAAGGCCUUCGGGUUGUAAAGCUCUUUCGGCGGGGAAGAAAUGGCAACGGCUAAUAUCCGUUGUUGAUGACGGUACCCGCAUAAGAAGCACCGGCUAACUACGUGCCAGCAGCCGCGGUAAUACNUAGGGUGCGAGCGUUAAUCGGAAUUACUGGGCGUAAAGCGUGCGCAGGCGGUUUCGUAAGACAGACGUGAAAUCCCCGGGCUCAACCUGGGAACUGCGUUUGUGACUGCGAGGCUAGAGUACGGCAGAGGGGGGUAGAAUUCCACGUGUA
rnacentral:rRNA from 1 species